CGCGGUCCUUUGACCCCGUGCUGUUGCCGAGGGGCCCAGCGGAGACCUUUGCGUGCUGUCGGUGGUUCGCUGCAACCAGCGAGGCCCUGGACACAGCUUUGAUUCUUCGGGACAACAUCCAAGAGGCGCGGGGCGAAGGCAGGGAGAGAAUAUUAGGAUGGAGGAGCGUCUUGACGUUUGCGGACGCCAAAGUUCCUCUUAAAGGGGGCGAGGUUUCCAGGGCCACGCGGGACGAGGCCACGCCGCAGGAAUUUUCAGCAGAUGACCUAAUCCUCCUGUGUCUGAGGCCCGGGGAGGCCAUUUCACUUCUCUCACCUCUGGGGACUCAAAGUUGAUAUCUGUCUCAACCAGAACUCAAGGCCUCGAUCCCUGUCUUUCUAUUCCUGCCAAAUGCUGAUACCAACGAAACCCUCCCCUUUGCUACAUAAGGUAAGUAACAACCCCAAAACACAGGAAGGCUGGGACCUGCAACUUCAACUCAAGGAUUUUUUCCCCCAGCUGGCAAAUUAAUCCAUCAAGUUGCAGGAAAGCAGCAAAUUUAAUUGCAGUGCUUUCAUCCAUUUAAUAACUCACAAUUUCCUUAAGGAUCUUACAGAAGCCAGUUCAAUGAUUUCAGUUCUUGAUUAUGGCAUCUUGAUGAACUUUCCAAGAGCUCACAGCCUCAAGCAGGGUUUCUCAAAAUGUGUGCACUGGCUCAUACAUACAACAGUGUGUAGUACAGCUGCAAGACAUGAGGCACAGGCUACUUUUCCAACUCCAUCCAGAAUCACUGAAUUAGAAUCGUAAUCAGAAUCUCCAGGCAAAAGUGCUUGGCACAAUAGUUAAGACACUGCUUGGGACACCCACAUCCCGUAUCAGAAUGCCUGGUUUGGAAUCACAGCUCUGCUCCUGAUUCCAGCUUCCUGCUAAUGCCCGUCCUAGGAGGCAGUAGGUGGUAAUUCAACAUCUGGGUCCCUUUCACUCAUGUAGGAGAUCUGGAUUGAGUUCCCAGGGUCCAUUGCAGGGAAUCAGGAGAUGGGAGCUCUCGACCUCCAAGGAGGAAGAGAAAGGAAUGGAGGGAGGUAGAGAAGGUUUUUAAAAAAGAAAAUCUUUAAGCAUGGACUCUGGAAUUUUUAAACAAGUCUUCCAGGUGAUUCUCAUGUACUCAGAGGUUAAGUCAUAGUCAUCUUAGUUUCAAACCAUUCAUAAUUUUUAAAAAAAGAUUUAUUUUAUUUAUUUGAAAGACAGAGUUACAGAGAUGUAGAGCCAGAAAGACAGGUCUUCCAUCUGCUGGUUCUCUCCACAAAAGGCUGCAACAGCCACAGCUGCUUCUUCUGGGUCUCCCACACGGGUGCAGGAACCCAAGGAUUUGGGCCAUCUUCUUUUUUUAAAAAAAGAUUUAUUUAUUUGAAAGUCAGAGUUACACAGAGAGAGGUCUUCCAUCAGAUGGUUCACUCCCCAGUUGGCCACAACGGCUUGAGGUGUGCCAAUCCAAAGCCAGGAACCAGUAGCUUCUUCUGGGUCUCCCACAUGGGUGCAGGGGCCCAGGGACUUGGGCCAUCUUCCACUGCUAUCCCAGGCCACAGCAGAGAGCUGGAUUGGAAGUGGAGCAGCCGGGUCUUGAACCAGCGCCCACAAGGGAUGCCGGCACUUCAGGCCAGGGCUUUAACCUGCUGCACCACAGCACCGGCCCCAUGGGCCAUCUUCUACUGCUUUUCCAGGCCAUAGCAGAGAGCUGGAUUGAAGUGGAACAGCCGGGACUAGCACCUAUAAGGGAUGAUGACACUGCAGGCCAGGGCUUUAACCUGCUGCACCACAGUGCUGGCCCCUGUAAAUAAUUUUUUUUCAUUCUGAGAAGACUGCUUCACGCUCUGGGCUUUAGCUCACAAGCCCGUCUCUUAAGAAAACAGAGACAACUGUCUCCAUCCUACCUGGGCUCCUCUGAGGAUACAGCAGAACGGAACUUUCCCAGUUGCUUGUGGGAAACAGUCCAGGUCUCCCUUCUUCACAAUCUUUUACAUGCAUGUAAGUUGUACAAAACACUUAACCCCUAAGGGUACAUCACUGUGUGCAGCACCCUCUGUCCUCAAGUUUGUAAUAAACACCUUCAAGUGGUCACCCUGAUGCUUAAUGCUUCAGUUUUGAAAUCCAAACCAAAUCUCAGAACUGUCUAGGACAGUCUACAGUGGGAAUGUCCCAGUCUCCAUUUCUGGAGCAAUUCCAGCAGUACAUUCUAAGAGAAUACUCACGGUUUUAGAAAGGUUUACCAAGAAAAUACUAGUAACUGGUAUAUACAUAUGUAUAUAUUUUUUCUUUUAAAGAUUUGUUUAUUUAUUUGAAAGUCAGAGUUACAGAAAGGAGGCAGAGAGGGAAAGAGACACGCCCACUUGGGAUGUCAGCACUGCAAAUGGUAGCUUUACCCACUAUGCCACAGCACUGACUCCCUGUAUAUUUUUUUCUCCCAUAUUCUGUGACCUGCUGGCAUUACUGCAGGGAUGUAAGGCUUAUUCACAUUGAAAAAAAAAAUAUGGGAGCCGGUUCAAGUCCCAGCUGCUCCACUUCUGAUCCAGCUCUCUGCUGUGCCCUGAGAAAGCAGUAGAAGAUGGCUCAAGUCCUUGGGCCCCUGCACCUGCGUGGGAGACCCAGAAGAAGCUCCUGGCUCCUGGCUUCAGAUCGGCCCAGCUCCGGCCAUUGUGGCCAACUAGGGAGUGAAUUAGCGGAUGGAAGACCUUUCUCUUUCUCUCUCUCUCUCUCUCUCUCUCUCUCUCUCUCUGCCUCUGCCUCUGCCUCUCAGUACCUCUGCCUUUCAAAUAAAUAAAUUAAUUAAAAAAAAAAGAUGUGGUCAUAUUAGAGAGGAAAAACCAUCUGACAAGCACCUA